AUUAUCGAAUGAGGAAAAGUGAUGAAUACCAAAGUUGAAUAACUCAUCAAGAUCUACAACUUUUGUAUUGGUCAUUUCUUCAUAUGAUAAAGUGGUAAUAACAUUGUUCACAAAUGUGACACAUCACUUAUGUGGUUUAAUAAACUAUGAGACAUGUGUAAGAUUAGUGAACAAUGUAUACUAAGAUUUUGUCAAAUGAAGAAAUGGUCAAAAUAAAAGUUGUAGAUCUUGAUGAGUUGAGCAACUUUGGUAUUCAUCACUUUUCAUGUUGAAGUC
rnacentral:pre_miRNA from 1 species